rnacentral:lncRNA from 1 species
UUUAGUCAAAACCAAUUCUUCUCUUUUUAAUUGACUAUAACUUCUCCCAACUGUCAUCCUGCCUUAGUUAAUCCUACUUGCAAAGGUUAAAUCUUGUAGGUGUGAAGUUUUGCAGACACAAACCUAUUUCUUGAUUGGAAAGCAUAAAAUAUAUGGGGAAAGGAGAUAAUCAGUAAAGGGAAUGAGAAUGUAUAUGAAUAUUGAAUAUCUGAUGUUUUAUUAAGAAUUUUAAAGAAAAGUGAUGUUCUUGGUUGUCAGCUGAUCCCAUCUGAUCAUCAGAGAUAAAGAUACCUGUCUGCUGGGCUAGGCACCUUGGUUUUGUUGCUGCCCUCAACAAUAAGGAAAAUGGUUUCUAACACAUGAUUUGUGGAACCAGAGCCAACAGCUUUAAAUAAACAAAUGAACAAGGCAAAAAAACUAAUUUAUCUGAAAGUCAAUAAAUCUCCUGGUCCCCUGGCCUCACCCAGCUGCUGCUCCAGGUACCUCACCUAGAUUCCCAGAUCAACCUUUGACUUGAAUUUUCCUCCCAGAUUCUUUGAUGUUUUAGAUUUUAAUCUCAGCUCUGCUUUUCCCAGGUUAGGACACAUUUAGCAAUAAGCCCACCGAGUGAUCUAAACUAGUGUGUGCUGCUGGGGGAAGCAUGGUUAAAUACUGUCAAGGAAAGAUGGCAGCAGGAAAGGAGUGAAGAUAAUGUCAUUGUGAAACAUUGGCACUUGAUAUUUAAUGUAUCUACUACAGGAAAUGCAGAGAAACACAUUAUAGCAAAGCCCCGGAGUAUUUGUUUUGAGAGAAAAGUUACUUUGGGCUCUCAUUUUAAAAAGAGUAGAGCUAGCAUGACUCCCUACUCCUUAGGUGUGGACUAAUCGCAUAGCGAUUUUCUUCCAGAGCAUAGUUUGAAAAGGAGAGGGGAAUAACUUCACGACGGAGAUGAGGAACCAGUCAGCACUGCCCCAGAUGGUGGCCAAGGUCAGUUCCAGCGGUGACCAGGCACUUACAUGGCCUGGACCCUUGGCAUGAUGUUUUGAGAAUGGCGCUUGACCUCCGACCUUCCUCCCCAAGUUCUGUAACUCCAGUCUAAUCGUGAGGAAAAUAGACAAAUGCUAACUGAGAAGCAUUC